rnacentral:rRNA from 1 species
CUACGGGAGGCAGCAGUGGGGAAUCUUGGACAAUGGGCGCAAGCCUGAUCCAGCCAUGCCGCGUGAGUGAAGAAGGCCUUAGGGUUGUAAAGCUCUUUUGGCAGGGACGAUAAUGACGGUACCUGCAGAAAAAGCCCCGGCUAACUUCGUGCCAGCAGCCGCGGUAAUACGAAGGGGGCUAGCGUUGCUCGGAAUUACUGGGCGUAAAGCGCACGUAGGCGGACUCUUAAGUCGGUGGUGAAAUCCUGGAGCUCAACUCCAGAACUGCCUUCGAUACUGGGAGUCUUGAGUUCGGGAGAGGUGAGUGGAACUGCGAGUGUAGAGGUGAAAUUCGUAGAUAUUCGCAAGAACACCAGUGGCGAAGGCGGCCAACUGGCUCGAUACUGACGCUGAGGUGCGAAAGCGUGGGGAGCAAACAGGAUUAGAUACCCCAGUAGUCC